AUCGCGGCGAGCGCCGUUGGCGGGGAACCGGGCGGGGAAUCUCUGUGCUUCCUCAGUCCCCAGGCCCAGCACCUGCAGGGCCGACCAGCUCCAGUCCCACGUCCAAUCCUGAGUGGCCAAAAGCCGGAAACCCGGAGUUGGAAUUGGGUCUUGCACAAGCUGGACCACGGAGUGAGGCUACUUGAGAAGCAUCUUAAAUGGGGAGAGAGAGCAAGUUAAAUCUGAUUUCCACGCAGCUCUGUGGAUUCCGAAUGUCCACAGUAUGUUAUCUCCAUUCCCACUUACGAGCCGCUCCUCUUCUGUGUGUUUCCUGCACCACCAUUCGCUCAGUUGCUCUACACUAAAAUUUGCUGUCAUCGUUGACUUCUCCCUCUCCUUCAUCCCCUACAAGUAUCAACAUAGACAACUCCGAUCAAUAUAAUCAUCAGUGAAUAAAGCAAAUUGCAGCGCAUAUUCUUAAAGACAAACUUUCCACUUGCAGCAGCACCUACCUUCCAGAUAGCUAAAUUAAAGCCCGUGUUUAUCAUAGCUGCUUCUAACCAGCCAAAGCUGAUAAUAACUAAGAACUUGCAGGAAUUGCAGUAUGCCAGACCUUCAAUUUAAUUGAAGACUUUCCUGAACAAUUAAUGAGACUUGUCUUAACCAGCAGGGAACGACUUUAGGGACGCAUUCUUCCCUAUGCAGGUGCAAGCCUCAAACGUUAAUUAGGAUCAUCCACCAUGAUCCUCGAGCCCUUCCCCACCUUAUACUUGAAGAGGCUGAACCUCAGAGAAUUAAAUUACCUACAGUCCUGGUCA